AUCCAGCUGACGAGUACCGAAUAGGAGGAAAUGCGCAUCCAGGAU
rfam:Schistosoma curassoni strain Dakar, Senegal genome assembly, scaffold: SCTD_contig0004968